rnacentral:rRNA from 1 species
UUUUACCCGCUGAAUUUAAGCAUAUAACUAACCGGAGGAAAAGAAACUAACUAGGAUUCCCUCAGUAAGGGCGACUGAAGCGGGAAGUGCUCACCGUGUGAAUCUGUAUAGCUGUCUAGCUAUGCCGAAUUGUGGUCUGUAGAAGCAAUGUCUGGCGGCGUCUCGGGUCAAGUCCUUUGGAAAAAGGCAGCAGAGAGGGUGAGACUCCCGUUCUUGCCUGAGACGUUCGACAAUGGCACAUGCCUUCAACGAGUCGAGUUGUUUGGGAUUGCAGCUCAAAGUGGGUGGUAAAUUCCAUCUAAAGCUAAAUAUUGGUGGGAGACCGAUAGCGAACAAGUACCGUGAGGGAAAGAUGAAAAGAACUUUGAAAAGAGAGUUAAAGAGUACCUGAAAUUGCUGAAAGGGAAGCAAAGGAAACCAGUGUUGUUUUGGCUCAUUUUUCUCCUGCUGCUUGCAACAGGGGCGCUGUGAGUCCGAAUAGGCCAGCAUGGGUUUGAGUCGGGGCAAAUCGGUACAUUGGAGGUAGAUCUAUUUCAGAUUGAAGACUGUGUAUUGGUGCCCUGGUUUGGACUGAGGCUAGCAAGUGUGAUGCUGGCGAAAUGGUUUUCUUUACCCCGUCUUGAAACACGGACCAAGGA